UACGUAGGGGCCUAGCGUUGUCCGGAUUUAUUGGGCGUAAAGAGCUCGUAGGCGGUUCGGUAAGUCAGGUGUGAAAUCUCCACGCUCAACGUGGAGGCGCCACCUGAAACUGCCGUGACUCGAGUCCGGUAGGGGAGUGUGGAAUUCCCGGUGUAGCGGUGAAAUGCGCAGAUAUCAGGAGGAACACCAAUAGCGAAGGCAGCUCGCUGGGACGUUACUGACACUGAGGCGCGAAAGCGUGGGGAGCGAACAGG
rnacentral:rRNA from 1 species